AGUUGAAGUUGACUGGUCAGUCUCAAGAUAUUCCUGGACCAAGGGGUUAAUUACAUCGAUAGCAUGCAAAUUCUCAACAUCUAAAGGCUUUUUCGUAGCCUCAUCAAUGCUAAACGUGUACUUUUCCCCAUGAUAAGUUUGAUUUGACCGAGCUAAAGAUGUGAGUUUGAUGUGAAAUUUUAACUGUAUGAUAUUUGAUGUGUCUACUUUAUUUUGGUAAAAUUUCAGCCCCAACGGAGGUCGGAUGAAUUUUUAAUAAUUUUUAGAAAAUGAUUGCGCUGUUCUGCCAGAUUUCUAUCUUACAAAAAUAAUCUUUGUUGUUAAGUCUUGAAGGAUAUACAUGAUGCAUAUGUGUUAAGGAACUCAUUCUAUGAUGAAGUGAUGUGUUGUUCGUUGAUGCAUGCUAUGGUGUGUUUCCUUGUAUUGAUAAACGUUUGGGAUGGGUAAAAAUUAAAGAGACGAUGAAAGGAACGUUAGGGCAUGCAUGAUAAUGGUUGUGAUGAAGGGCUGAUUUUAUUGUGUUGUUGAUAAGGGUUGUCGUGCGUACGUGAGCACAAGGAGCGAGAGUUACAUUGAAUUGUGUUUUGUGAUAUCUAAGCAAGCGAGGUUGAGCGGGAUGUGGCAAUGGAUGUUGAGUCGGCAUAGGAAAAUUGGAUGCGUUGUGUCUUCAUACAUAGGCGUCAUCCUAUGACUCUCUUUUGAUAACUCUUUUCCGCUGCUAUUUAUUGAAACUGAUGUCAUAAGAAUUUACUUUACGUCGUAUGGUUUUGCCUGUGUAAAACACUUAGAUAUUUUGAAUUCCGCUGCUUACUUUAAAAACUAAAACGUUUUGUGGUCUAAACAUUUGUUCUUGUGGAAAUUAAUUGACUUUUGCCUUAAA